rnacentral:rRNA from 1 species
UACGUAGGGUGCAAGCGUUAAUCGGAAUUACUGGGCGUAAAGCGUGCGCAGGCGGUUUUGUAAGUCUGUCGUGAAAGCCCCGGGCUUAACCUGGGAAUUGCGAUGGAGACUGCAAGGCUUGAAUCUGGCAGAGGGGGGUAGAAUUCCGCGUGUAGCAGUGAAAUGCGUAGAGAUGCGGAGGAACACCGAUGGCGAAGGCAGCCCCCUGGGCUGACACUGACGCUCAGGCACGAAAGCGUGGGGAGCAAACAGG